GGUUUCUCUGUGUAGCCCUGGCUUCCCUGGAACUCACUUUGUAGAUCAUGCUGGCUUCAAAGUGUAUCUGCUUCCUGAGUGCAAAGUUUCUCAAGUGCUAGAAUGACUGCUGUGAUCCAGGUCUGGAACAGCACUGCUUAGCAGAAGGCAUGUGGACACUGAAGUUAUGUGACUGACUGGCCCCUUAGUCAUCGUUCCUGGGAAUUCUGCAGUCCUGGGGAAAAUGCAGUGUCUUCUUACACAUGUCUUUUCAUGCUCUCAUGACGAGAGAGAGAGAGAGAGAGAGAGAGAGAGAGAGAGAGAGAGAGAGAGAGAGAUCACCAGGGGUAAGAUUCUUGUCUAGCAAGCAUGAAGCUCUGCGUGGGGUUCAUCCUCAACAAUGCACAAACUGGGCAGUGUGGCACAUCUGUAAUCCCAGAACUUGGGGACAAGGCAGAGAAAUUAUAAGUUCAAGUCCAUCUUGGCUAUAUAAAAAGUUUGAAAGAACAGCCUGGAAUAUAUGAGACCCUGUCUCAAAAACAGUAAAAUAAAACCACAAUAUCCACAAAGCAAUUGAACUUUGCUUCAGUCCUGUUUCUCAGUGAUCCCAGGAAAGGGCUUUUAUUACAGUCAUGUUAAGAAUAGCAGUUAAUGUUCUGAGCCAGCGACAGUGUGCCUAUUCUUGCUGUCAGUGUGUUAUAUGGAUUCUCUCACUUUAUCCUCACUGCAUCACAGGGCUUUCAGGUACUGUAACUAUUUUCAGUAUAAAAGCCAACCUGAGUCUUGAAGAGUUUUAACUUCACCAAGGCACCAUACUACUAAAAUCACACAUAAAUAAGAGGUGUACAAAGUAUGGAUGAAGUGAGAACUCUGGAGGAAGUAAGGGUUGACAUAUUCUCAAGCCACAGAAAGCCAGUGUUGAGAGUUGGCUACAUGAAUCCCUUUUCCUUUUCUUUUUAAAUCUCUGCAAAUUUAUUAGCAACUUACUGUUCUUUGGAUGAAUAACUGCUUAUUAUUUGUCCCACAGCUAAGCAUAAUGCUUUAGGAGUACAAUUUCAUAAAAGACCUUUAGAUUCUGGAGUUAUGUAGUGUAUA